UAUUAUUGAUGGAAUUUGUAAAAGGCAAUUUAAUGUGUUUACCAAGAGGACAUGAAUGACAAAACUAAGAAUGUAAUUUACUAGGUUUAUUACAUUCAAUCAACUUAUUUUUGCUAAGAAAAGACAAAACAUGAUCGCCUGGACGUCCUAGACGAUUAUGCCAAAUAGAUGAUGACAAAGCUGCAAAUGUGGAUGGAUGCUUGGCCUUAUUUGUGAUAUUAUGGUUGGUGAUAGGAUAUAGAUC
rnacentral:lncRNA from 1 species